AUGACGUUGACAGGUGAAGCGUUGGCUCUAUGGUUUGGCUUAUCUCUUGCACAAAGAGCGGGUUGCAAUCGUCUUGUUAUUAACUCGGAUAAUAUGGAUGGCAUUGAUACACUGAAGAAUGAAGGGUGGUCUACUGGAGCGGUGGCGACAGUUUUUGAUGACUGCUAUUUUUUGGCUUGUGAUUUUCCGCUUACUAGUUUCGAACAUUGUAAUAGGGAAGCGAAUAAAGUCGUCCAUGAACUUGCCAGGUUGUAUGUUUUCGAACAUUAAUUGGUUUGAUUUGAGGAGCCCUUGGAUGAGAUUGUAUCUCUCCUUAUAGACGAUGUAACCGUUAUUUACAAUUAA
rnacentral:rRNA from 1 species